UGGGAAUUUGGACAAUGGGCGCAAGCCUGAUCCAGCCAUGCCGCGUGCGGGAAGAAGGCCUUCGGGUUGUAAACCGCUUUUGUCAGGGAAGAAAUCUUCUGAGUUAAUACCUCGGGAGGAUGACGGUACCUGAAGAAUAAGCACCGGCUAACUACGUGCCAGCAGCCGCGGUAAUACGUAGGGUGCAAGCGUUAAUCGGAAUUACUGGGCGUAAAGCGUGCGCAGGCGGUUUUGUAAGACAGAGGUGAAAUCCCCGGGCUCAACCUGGGAACUGCCUUUGUGACUGCAAGGCUUGAGUGCGGCAGAGGGGGAUGGAAUUCCGCGUGUAGCAGUGAAAUGCGUAGAUAUGCGGAGGAACACCGAUGGCGAAGGCAAUCCCCUGGGCCUGCACUGACGCUCAUGCACGAAAGCGUGGGGAGC
rnacentral:rRNA from 1 species